GAGAGAGAGGUGUUUGUGCAUUCACAUGUAUAUAUAUAUAUAUAUAUAUAUAUAUAUAUUUACAUGUGAAUGCACAAACACCUCUCUCUC
rnacentral:miRNA from 1 species